rnacentral:rRNA from 1 species
UACGUAGGGUGCGAGCGUUAAUCGGAAUUACUGGGCGUAAAGCGUGCGCAGGCGGUUAUGCAAGACAGAUGUGAAAUCCCCGGGCUCAACCUGGGAACUGCAUUUGUGACUGCAUAGCUAGAGUACGGUAGAGGGGGAUGGAAUUCCGCGUGUAGCAGUGAAAUGCAUAGAUAUGCGGAGGAACACCGAUGGCGAAGGCAAUCCCCUGGACCUGUACUGACGCUCAUGCACGAAAGCGUGGGGGAGCAAACAGG